rnacentral:rRNA from 1 species
GACGAACGCUGGCGGCGUGCUUAACACAUGCAAGUCGAACGGAAAGGCCCUGCGUUCUUGGGCUGCUCGAGUGGCGAACGGGUGAGUAACACGUGAGUAACCUGCCCUACACUUUGGGAUAACUUCACGAAACUGAAGCUACUACCGUAUAGCAUCCGACGCUGCAUUGAGAGCGUUGGAAAUUUUCGGCGGUCGGGGAUGAACUCGCGGCUUAUCAGCUUGUUGGUUGGGGAGUGGCUUACCAAGGCAGUGACGGGUAGCCGGCCUGGGAGGGUGACCGGCCACAUUGGGCCUGAGAUACGGCCCAGACUCCUACGGGAGGCAGCAGUGGGAAAUAUUGCACAAUGGGCGGAAGCCUGAUGCAGCGGCGCCGCGUGCGGGAUGACGGCCUUUGGGUUGUAAACCGCUUUCGCCUGUGACGAAGCGUGAGUGACGGUAAUGGGUAAAGAAGCACCGGCUAACUACGUG